rnacentral:rRNA from 1 species
UGUUUUAGUGUUGGCUGUCUCAUGCAGUCGAGCGGAAACGACAACAUUGACCCUUCGGGUGAUUUGUUGGGCGUCGAGCGGCGGACGGGUGAGUAAUGCCUGGGAAAUUGCCCUGAUGUGGGGGAUAACCAUUGGAAACGAUGGCUAAUACCGCAUAAUGUCUACGGACCAAAGAGGGGGACCUUCGGGCCUCUCGCUUCAGGAUAUGCCCAGGUGGGAUUAGCUAGUUGGUGAGGUAAUGGCUCACCAAGGCGACGAUCCCUAGCUGGUCUGAGAGGAUGAUCAGCCACACUGGAACUGAGACACGGUCCAGACUCCUACGGGAGGCAGCAGUGGGGAAUAUUGCACAAUGGGCGCAAGCCUGAUGCAGCCAUGCCGCGUGUAUGAAGAAGGCCUUCGGGUUGUAAAGUACUUUCAGUCGUGAGGAAGGCGUUGAAGUUAAUAGCUUCAUCGUUUGACGUUAGCGACAGAAGAAGCACCGGCUAACUCCGUGCCAGCAGCCGCGGUAAUACGGAGGGUGCGAGCGUUAAUCGGAAUUACUGGGCGUAAAGCGCAUGCAGGUGGUUUGUUAAGUCAGAUGUGAAAGCCCGGGGCUCAACCUCGGAACCGCAUUUGAAACUGGCAGGCUAGAGUACUGUAGAGGGGGG